rnacentral:rRNA from 1 species
GACGAACGCUGGCGGCGUGCUUAACACAUGCAAGUCGAACGGUGAACUCGAGAGCUUGCUCUUGAGGGAUCAGUGGCGAACGGGUGAGUAACACGUGAGUAACCUGCCCCAGACUCUGGAAUAACACCUGGAAACAGGUGCUAAUACCGGAUACGACACGAACAGGCAUCUGUAUCGUGUGGAAAGUUUUUCGGUCUGGGAUGGACUCGCGGCCUAUCAGCUAGUUGGUGAGGUAAAGGCUCACCAAGGCGACGACGGGUAGCCGGCCUGAGAGGGCGACCGGCCACACUGGGACUGAGACACGGCCCAGACUCCUACGGGAGGCAGCAGUGGGGAAUAUUGCACAAUGGGCGAAAGCCUGAUGCAGCGACGCCGCGUGAGGGAUGACGGCCUUCGGGUUGUAAACCUCUUUCAGUAGGGAAGAAGCGAAAGUGACGGUACCUACAGAAGAAGCACCGGCUAACUACGUGCCAGCCGCCGCGGUAACAC